rnacentral:lncRNA from 1 species
GUGGUUUCAUGGAACAUAUUGCAAAAUCUUGCUCCAAGAUGCAACAACAAAUGAGAAAGAGAAGUUCUAGUGAUAUAGCAACAUGGAGGGGACAAAUUUCUGUCCGAAGCAGAACAUCAGAAGAAAAACCAAAAAUUCCUUAUUAAGAAAUAAAAAUUUUUCCACUAGUCCUCACCAUAUGCUUGGAAGUUGUAGCGUUCCUGAUAGAAGCCACUGAACCAAAUAUCAGCUUCAAACCAUUUGGUGUAGACCGACCACAUAUUGCAUAUAAAGCUCAGUCCUUCCUCAAUAAAAACUAAAUUAUCAACGUCCCAGUCCCAAGGAAGCUUGCAUUUGCCUGUCUUCCACAUCGAUCAUUUUGAAAUACCAAGAUCUGCCAGUUCUCUCUACCUCACACUGUACAACUCUUCUAACAGUAUUUCCAUCCUCAUUGCCCUAAUACCUUGAGACUACCCACGAGUAACACUUGAAUUUGUAUAUUCUCUGCAACCUUUAUUGAUGGAGAAGGGCUGAAAAGCAAGAGACAUGACAAUACUUGCCAUAUCCCCUCAAUUUCUACUAUAUAUUGCCAAACAACAAAACCAGCAAGUUAACCAGGAUCGUAAUUGAGAUUUGAGAUGUGACACCCCGAUCUUAGGCUUCGGGGGUCAUGAACUAAAUAUAGUAACUUCUGCCUUUGGUACAUGUAAAUACUCUUAAAUAGAAGUAUUACAUGUUAUAAAACUAAUUUCAAUUUGGUAAAAUAUCUCUCAUGAA